GUUUCCCACUUUAGGGAAGGAAAAAAAGCAGAAGUUUAGGAGGAGCAAUUUCCUUUCAAGCAAUGAGGAAGUUGCUCAUUGCUUAGUCACUUGCUAACUUAGUCACUGGGCCACGCCUAGCCUCCCGGGUGUCUGGGAAAUGUAGUCUUCGCUGGGCAACCAUGUGCUCUGUCUAAACUCUCUGAAUAAGGAAUACCGGACUUGGACAACUGGCAGUCUCCACCACAAGAUGUUUGAUGGUUCCCGCGAUUUUUUGGUGGGACAGGCUUUCCCAGCCACAUAAACACACUUUUCCCCAGCGUGAGGAACUGACCCAAACAUUCUGGAAGAGAUGGACCUUGCAAGUCAAUGCUGUUUUACUACCCCAGCUGGAGGAAGAAAGGUUUUCUCCCCCCCCCCCCCAACAGCCCAACCAGUGAGAGAAUGUCACAGCUCAGCCAAAGAAAAGCCACCACACUUUGAACUCCCAGUUUAGUCCAAUGGACUUGCUUUUAACACCCCCUCCUCAUGUCUCUCUUUCCUCUACAAAAGAGCAAAGAGCAUUCCUCCCCUUUCUUUGUUCCCUGGGCUUGUCUGUAGUUUUGCUGUGGUUUGCAAGUUCUGAGCUGCAAUUCUCUGCUAUUCCUGUAUAAACUUAUUU
rnacentral:lncRNA from 1 species